CCCCCUCCCAUCCCCCCCCGCCCCCGCCAGGUGACAGGAGCGGGGCAGAGCGGAGGGAGAAGCAGCUGGAGUUUGUCUGGAUUCUGCUCCCCGCUGGAUCCGCGUCUCCUGGGCUCCGGGUUCAUUGUGUGUGUGAGUGUGAGGUUGUGUUGCUCUUCCUGGAGCUCCUAAGGAGCCUGGGAGGGAAGAGGGGCCCUGGUUUGGUUUUUCCACCUUCCCUCUCUCUUCUCCCCCUCCCGCCCCCCGUUUAUUUUUAACUGUUGCUCCUAUUUCGGGGUAUCUUUUUCUUUCGUCUAAGUUGACUGUGCAGAGAUCGGCGACUUCCAGGCGGCGCUGGCUGACUUCGCUGGCCGGGCUGAGGCGCUCUGCGCCCGGGCAAGCCUCUCCUGGAUCCCUCCCUGCUCAGAGGCGGUGGAAGUGCUGGGGAUGAAGUAGCUUUCGCCUGUUUCUCGUUCCCUCCCCCCCCCCCCCCGCCGGAUGCUGCCUGGCCUUUUGGGCUGCUUUUCUUCGCCGGCGAUGAGGGCUCUGCCUUGAAGAUGGAGAUUAUUUGUUUUUUCUUGCUGGCGGUGGUGCCGGUGUACAUCCAGGGAGACGGGGUUUAUGCUCCAGCUCAGGCCCAGAUCAUCCAUGCGGGGCAGGCCUGUGUUGUGAAGGAAGAUAACAUCAGUGAACGAGUGUACACUAUCCGGGAGGGCAACAUUCUGGUGCUGCAGUGUCUGGUCACGGGACACCCACGGCCGCAGGUGAGGUGGACCAAAACUGCUGGCAGUGCCUCGGACAAAUUCCAGGAGACAUCGGUGUUUAACGAGACCCUUCGGAUUGAGAAGAUCCAGAGGCUGCAGGGAGGCCGCUAUUACUGUAAAGCAGAGAAUGGGGUUGGGGUCCCUGCCAUCAAGUCCAUUCGAGUAGAUGUGCAGUAUCUAGACGAGCCCAUUCUCACCGUCCACCAAACCAUCAGCGAUGUACGUGGCAGCUUCUACCAGGAGAAGACGGUCUUCCUCCGGUGCACAGUCAACUCUAACCCUCCCGCUCGCUUCAUCUGGAAACGGGGUGCUGAGACACUCUCCCACAGCCAGGAUAAUGGAGUGGAUAUCUAUGAGCCACUCUACACACAGGGUGAAACCAAAGUUCUAAAGCUGAAAAACCUGAGGCCACAAGAUUAUGCCAGUUAUACGUGUCAGGUAUCCGUCCGGAAUGUCUGCGGCAUCCUUGACAAGACUAUCACUUUCCAGCUCACUAACACAACAGCCCCACCCGCUCUGAAGCUGUCUGUCAAUGAGACCCUGGUGGUGAACCCGGGAGAUAAUGUCACUAUGCAGUGCUCCCUGAUAGGCGGUGACCCACUGCCUGAGGUGGUCUGGUCUCACUCACCCAGCCCUAUGCCUCACAAUAGCCUUAUUCAAGAGGGUAACCUCACCAUAUGGGGGAUCCGCAUGGAAGAUUCAGGCUACUACAAUUGCACGGCCAUCAACAAUGUGGGGAACCCAGCUAAGAAGACAGUGAAUCUGCUGGUGCGAUCCAUGAAGAACGUCACCUUCCAGAUCACCCCUGACGUGAUCAAAGAGAGUGAGAGCAUCCAACUAGGGCAGGACCUGAAGCUCUCGUGCCAUGUGGAUGCCGUCCCCCAGGAGAAGGUCGUCUACUUCUGGUACAAGAAUGGGAAACCAGCCAGGGUCUCAGACCGACUGCUCAUUUCCAGGAACGACCCUGAGCUCCCACCAGUGACCAGCAGCCUGGAGAUCAUUGACCUGCGCUUCAGUGAUUAUGGCACAUAUCUGUGCAUUGCGUCCUUCCAGGGGGCCCCCAUCCCUGACCUCAGUGUUGAGGUGAACAUCUCUUCAGAAACAGUGCCUCCAACCAUCAGUGUCCCCAAGGGCCAGUCCACCAUCACCGUUCGGGAGGGCUCCAGGGCCGAGCUGCAGUGCGAGGUUCGAGGGAAGCCCAAGCCGCCCAUCAUCUGGUCCCGGGUAGACAAGGAGGCCCCCAUGCCCUCAGGUGCCAUGACAGUGGAGACUUACGAUGGGAAGCUGCGCCUGGAGAGCGUUAGCCGAGAAAUGAGUGGGACCUAUAAGUGUCAGACAGCCAGGUACAAUGGCUUUAACAUCAGACCCCGGGAAGCUCUGGUACAGCUCAACGUACAGUUCCCCCCAGUGGUAGAACCAACUUCUCAGGACGUCCGCCAGGGCAUGGGCCGCAGCGUCACCCUGCGAUGCACCAUGCUGAAGGGGAGCCCCAUGAAGGUAGCCACAGCCGUCUGGCGCUUCAAUGGGAACCUCUUGACCCUACCCCCCACAGAGCAGCAGGACUACUCAGAGCUGAAGGUGGACAGCGUGAACCGGGAGACCAGUGGUAGCUACGAGUGCAGCAUCUCCAACGAUGUGGGGGUCUCCACCUGCUUCUUCCAGGUGUCUGCCAAAGCUUACAACCCAGAGUUUUACUACGACACUCCCAACCCCACACUCAGCCAGAAGCAAUCCAAGAACUACUCUUAUGUCUUGCAGUGGACACAGAAGGAACCCGACGCAGUGGAUCCCAUUCUCAAGUACCGGCUGGAUGUCCGGCAGCUGAAUCAGAGGAACACUGUCCAAACGUUAAUUCCUGUGAAGAAGAUGGAGAAAGGCCUGCUGCUGGAGCACAUCCUGCGCAACUUGAAGGUUCCUCAGAGCUAUGAGGUUCGCCUGACGCCCAUCACCAACUUUGGGGCUGGUGAUAUGGCUGCCCGCAUCAUCCGGUACAUGGAACCGAUUAACUAUCCCAACCUGGCAGAUAACACCUGCCACUUUGAGGACGAGAAGAUCUGUGGCUUCACGCAAGACAAGAUGGACAACUUUGACUGGACCCGUCAGAAUGCCUUGACUCAGAACCCCAAGCGCACUGUCAACACAGGGCCAUCCACAGAUAUCAGUGGCACAGAAGAAGGUUAUUACAUGUUCAUUGAGGCCUCCCGGCCCCGGGUGCAAGGAGACAAGGCCCGGCUCAUCAGCCCCCUGUACAACAUCACCGGCAAGUACUUCUGCGUCUCCUUCUUCUACCACAUGUACGGGAAGCACAUUGGCUCCUUGAAUCUUCUGGUUCGUGUGCAGAACAAACGAGCCAUCGACACCCAAGUCUGGUCGCUCAGCGAAAACAAAGGAAACGAGUGGAAACAAACACACGUCCCCAUCAGCCCUCCAGGACCCUUUCAGAUCAUCUUUGAAGGCGUCCGCGGCACAAGCUAUGAGGGGGACAUUGCCAUUGACGACGUCACUCUGAAAAGGGGAGACUGCCCGAGGAAGUCGAUUGGCCCAAAUAAAGCAGUCGCCCUUCCAGGGAGCGGCGUCCCAACCCUGCACAGGUCUUCUCUCGGUGGGCCACUGACUUUUUUCCUUUAUGUGCUGCUCAGAUGAUGGCAAGCAAGCAUUCCUGUCUUCUGGCCAAGACAUUCCUGCUCCUUUCCUACUCAGCCACCUCUGCUCCUCUUCCUCCCCCUCCUCACUGGCACACCAAAGUGUCCAUACGUUACCAAAGACUGACAAGCAUGACCACGCAAAGGGAUCUGCUCAGAACCUGGUGGAUUCCUCAAGAAAGUCAUAAUGUCUAAAAAAUAAAAAAAUAAAAACAGAAAAUGAGAGAGAGCGAGAGGAAGGAAGAAAACAAUCACACAAGAAGGAAUGAAGAAAAAUGGGAAUGACAAAAAUGUAAAGAACAAAUGAAGGAGGAAACUCCCCCUCCCCGUGUUUCCUUGGGAACAUCUGACAGGACUUCCUCAGGGAAGUGGGAACUUUGUUUUAAACAAAAAUAUAUAUAUAUAUUAAAGCACAAAUUUCUACCAGAACUGUUACCUUCUUUACUGCAGAGCCCACAGCUUAGGAGACCGUGUAUUGCAGCGCUCCCCUUUUGGCUUUCCGUGUUCCACCUUUAUCCUGCUGGCUCUGGCUACCGUGUACCAGCUGCAGCGCCCCUACAGUAACAUCCCACCUGUCUCCAUUUGGGGCAGCUCACCUCCCGUGUGCUGGUUGGCCAUAGACUCUCGCCCCAUGCUGCAUGUGCUUCAGUGUCUCCAUCCGCAUCUUCCAAACGUCCAUAUAUUCAAUUGUCUAUGUGUGAUUUGCUUUAAUCCACAUCGCACUCCUUCCCCAACUCGCUGUGUCCUCCCGCCCUGCCCAAAGAAGACAACAGCGGAGUGGACCCAUCAUCUGGAUUGUACUGAGUGGUGGAAAAACCCUGGGUCGAUCCAACUGCAGCACUGGCCACCGAACGCUCCCAGGUGCUUCUCUCUCUGCAUCUCUCACUUCCCACCACUGGGUGCACAAACUCUGAUGAUGGAGCUGAGGUUGCAAACAAAAGCCUCUCGGUGGGAUGGAGCUGGCAGGGUGGUGACAUGCGGACAGCACUUGUCAGUCAGUGCACAUUGGAGUGGGAGCUGCAGCAGCCUUGAGGCCAGGAUCUCCUCUCAGAUUUUUUUGGUUAACUAACUUACUUCUUUCUUCAUUCCACUGUUAGCCUUCCCUGCCCCAAGCUCCUAUUUCCUUUCAGACUGUGGGGAGAGGCAUAGAUUUGCACCCUUUACAUUUCCCCACCCCAAACCACAGGCCUCUCCUAGUCUCCAACCCUUGUGCCCUCUGAAUGGAUCUGAAAUUGCAGCUGCUGCCUUGAGCUCCAAGGACUUUUGUUUCCCAGGAUGUAUUAGCCACAAGGGAGGUGCAGGGGGGCAGCUGGGUUCCCUUCACCAGAGUAACAAUCAGAGGAGCCAGGGGAUGGAAUGGGCCCUGAAGCUCCUGGGUGACUGGGCAAAGCAGGUGGCUGGAUCCCAAAGAGGGGAUCAUUCUGGUUUUCACUUCUGUUGGCUGCUGGGGAAGAGGGUGCAGGUAGGGAGAAAGUUGGGAUUUCUUCUUCAUGGAGUUCAUGCUGCCACUGUGAAGGAAUAAAGCCAAUGUCUCAGGAGAGUUGCCUCUUGGCUCUGAACCUGUUCCAGCCAGAUCCAUCCUGCUCCCUACCGCAGCCAUGGCUUGGCCUGGGGGUGAUGUGGUGUGUAGGCAUCUGCUGUACCAGGUGAACCCAGGAGCAAGGUCUCCCUUAGGCUAGCCAAGUAGGAGCCAUGUUGACCUUGUUACAGCUGGAAACAGCUCUGGGCCUAUCUUGCUCUCACCCCUCUCAUCGAAGAAUAAUGUUAGCUGUACCUGUGUGGGGGGGGGGGGAGAUUCAGUGAGGUGACACUCUUUCCUCUGAGGCACACCCAGUCUGCUUGCUACUUCAAGGGCACAGCAGAGGUACACUGACCUGUCUCAGGUGUAGAGUUGCCAGCACACAUGCCCCCACCCCACCCUCUCUGAUGACGUUAUCAUAAAUUUAGGCUUCUCUGGACAAUAGCAUGUAGCUAAAUCAAAUCAGUGUAUCACCUGCCCAAUGCCUUCUGCGAUGCUUGGCUUCCCAAAAUGUCUGAGGCUUGGCUUCCCCUCACACCCGGUGGGGAGGCCUGUGUUCAGUGCUCUACCUUCCUGUCCAAGAGACCCAUCUUCCAGUGCUCGAGCCAACCACUCACUCCCCAGGCCUCUAGGAGAUGGCAUCUUGAGUCAUUCUGCAGUGACCCUCGUGGCCAGAGUAGGAGAUGUGCUGAUGGGCUCCAGAGAGAGUCCCAUCCAGUCAUCCUCAGCCAAAAAAAAGGGUGCUGGGCUGUUGGGCUGAGGCGAUCCUUCACAGAGGACUUCCCAAAAGAUAUUGAAAGGUCUAGCCACGGGGUUCCAAAACUCCAAUUGAUGAUUUUCCUCCUCUCCAGGACUGAAAACUCUGCCCUCUUCAUCUGCUUAGUCCCUCCACCUCCAUCUUCUGAGCCCAGUUCCUAGUCUCAGUGAACAUUUAGUAAGGGAACGUGCUACCUUUGCCAUUGGCCAGGUACUGCAGUGGGGCCCUUGCAGGAUAACCUCUCCUCACUGCCAGCAGACACCAGGAAAUGCAACCAACCAACCCCCAGCAUUUUAGAAAAUCUUCAAUUCUAUGCCCUGGAAUGGGGUCUCUCCAGGAAGCAGCUUUCUUUCCUCCUUGUAUGCUUUCCAAGGGGUCUGAUCUCAAUCCUUGGAGGAGAGCCGGUGCUUUCCACAGGCAGCACAGGGGCCUGGGUGUUUAGUGCUAAUGAUUUGGGUCAGCUGCCAAGUGUGGGGGUGGGGAGGAGGCAGGUCAUGAAUUUGCACCUUUUGAAGUUUUGGGGGAAUGUGGGGUGAGCUCUUGUGAUUACGUUCCCCUGAGGAGGAACAGGAGGCUUGCUGCACAGCUGGCAGGUGGAGGUGGAGGAGAAGGAUCAAUGUCUUGAGCAAGAAUUAUCCCUGAGCAGAGGCAAGGGAGAAUGGACUGAUUCUAAAAAGGAAAACCUGCGACCCCCACGUCCCUGCUCUGCUGCAGCAUCUGGCCCAUUCACCACACACACAGGAAUGUGCCAGAGCCACUGAGCUGAUCCACCACGCUGGGGGUCACAGUCCAGUCCAUGGCAUUGGGGCUGGAGAGCAGCAUAGAUUUCCCCUUAGACAGCAAUUGCCUUAUCCAUUCAUUGGGCUCAAAUGAUCACUGCUUUUUGGCCAGUUUGCCCUUGUAUAAAUCUCAGGGAGCCCCCGUUCAUCCCUCCCUUCCUAGAUUCCCUUCCCCUUUAUCUGUGGCUUGAAAGCAGCUGGUGUUGUGUUUACUGGAGCUUCAUUAACCCAAGUGCCUCAGCUUGUCGGAGCAUUAAGGAUGAAAGGAAGGAAGUCAUUGCACUGUCAGCAGUGCUGAGUGUGCGGAGCAGAGGAAGGUGCCUGUUCAGCAGCAAGGAUGCCUCACUUCAGGGGGAUGGAGACUGCACAUGUGAGUGGGGACGUGCUGUUAUUCCUUAGAGGCUUGGCCACCUUGGACGGGGACCUCACAAACUAAGCUGGGUUGUGUUAUGUGGUGUGAAAUAGAUGGGAGACUCUGAGGAAACUCCAGGUACUGCAGGAAAUAGUAUUUGUGGGUAGGGGUCAGUACUAACCCCAGCCUCUGCACUGUGCUUUCAGAUGAGGUCUAAAACUAUAUUCUGCACCCCACGUCAUUAAAGAUCCCCUGGCACUUUACACUGGUGUUAAACCCAGUGUUCUGGGCCAAUUAUAAUCAUUACAUUUCAUUACAGUGUGCUUCCUUCAGGCUCUGAUACAGUUUCAAUUAGAUACAUUAGCCUUCACUUCCUGACCUUUACUGUUGUUGUGUGACUGUUAAGUAGCUGCUUUGUUCCACUCUAGAGGUGGCUGCAUUUCAGAUUACAACUCGCUAUAGUUUGGCACCCCUGCAGGAGAACAGGUGCUAUAUCUAUGUAAGUGACUGUGUUUAUUCACAGGGAGAUGUUUGGUAGGUAGUUGUAGAGAUGAAGUAGGGCAAUUGCUAUGUGGGUGUGAUCCAAUAUAUAUUCAGCCCUUUUUUUUCAGUACAUGAAACAAAAUGUGCAUACACAGGCAUAGAUUGCAGGUAUCAGAUGUAGUGAGUGAUACUGUAUAGUUAGGCUUGCAAAGGAACUUUUAUUGAAACCUCUCUGCAGUCGCUCAGGGCAUUCUGAAAAAAUAUUUCUUUUUUAUUAUUCCCCACAUUGGAGUAACAGCCCCAGUCACAGGUCACCAACCUAGGAUUUUCAGCUAUGCAAGCAGGCACUCCCACUGCUUGCAGUACCGGUGCAACUUUUUCGGCUGGUGCAGUAGUAGACUUUUAUCCUUUUAUAUGGCUCAGCCACUAGAAGGCAACACAACUGGCAUGUUACAAUUGAUCUUAGGUCUUGAGCAAGUCCGUUGGAAAGUCUGAGGGAAAAUCGUUCCAGCCACUUUGGAAUGAAAGCGAGCAGGAAAAGAAAUAUGUAUUUUUUGCAUUAUUAAAAAAAUUAUUCAAACUUUUUUUUAACACACAACAAGUUAAAAAACACCUGACGUUUAAAAUGUUAUGUUUGACACGUGUGCAAAUCUACCUCUGUAUCGUCUCUCAAUGCACCAGUUAAUUAUCAGCCUUGCAGAAAUGUUACCCCGGGGAAGCAAUUUUAUCGGGGGGGUGGGGAGUGGGAAAGCAGUACAAUACAAAUGUUUGUUCACAGGUUUAGCCUGGGAUACAUUUCAUGACAGUUUUGCAAGGCUGAUUGAUGGUGUGUAUAUGUAUUAAUGAUCAUGCUACAAAUGGCAUUUCAUUCUCAGCUGCUAUUCAAGGCAACUGAAAUUCUAACUUCGUAGUAUACUAGGCCCUUUGGGCCCCAGCCCACUCAGAAACACUGCAAAGAGUCUUCAGUAUCCGUGAGAGAGCAGGCGCUGUAGUUCACCUCCUAGCCUGGUCUGUUCUUAGUCCCUGCAAGCCAGCAGUAUCAGGAGAGCUGCUAUACCUCUGGACUGGUUUUUGUGCUUCUCAGCCUGCAGACAGUACCGGGUUUACAAUGGCGCCAGUGGUGCCAUGGAGCCGGUCCCAUGCUCAGAAGGGGCCUCGGCCUGCUCCACUUGCACUGCACCCUGAGACCCUGCCAGGCCACUGGCUUCCCCCCGACCCAUCACUUGCUCCUGUCGACCUGCCUGUCAAGGACUGCUCUCUGCUCCCUGGCCAGACCCCAGUGCACCUCCAGCUCCAGGCAGUCUCUGCUUCCCACCACCUGUGGGUCCCCACCUGUCUCCUCGGAGCUGAGCCACCUGAGACUGGUGCAGAAGCCUGGCCAGUCUCAGGCAUCCGGGAUGUGGGGGACAGUGUGGCAGGCUUGGCUAGGCCCCUCCAGGCAAGUAGGUCCUGAGGGAGCCUGGCUGGGGCAGUCCCUGGCCUGGAUGAUCGCGCCAUUCCUGAGGGGCCGGAGCAAUUCCCCAUCCCGGGACCAGCCGUGGCUGUGCUGCCGGCUCAGCCCAGCAGACACAGUUGCUUCCCAGCAGGGCUGGUGAAUGUGGCC